rnacentral:rRNA from 1 species
AUACUACAAGGUGGAUGCCCUGGCAGUCAGAGGCGAUGAAGGACGUGCUAAUCUGCGAUAAGCGUCGGUAAGGUGAUAUGAACCGUUAUAACCGGCGAUUUCCGAAUGGGGAAACCCAGUGUGUUUCGACACACUAUCAUUAACUGAAUCCAUAGGUUAAUGAGGCGAACCGGGGGAACUGAAACAUCUAAGUACCCCGAGGAAAAGAAAUCAACCGAGAUUCCCCCAGUAGCGGCGAGCGAACGGGGAGCAGCCCAGAGCCUGAAUCAGUGUGUGUGUUAGUGGAAGCGUCUGGAAAGGCGCGCGAUACAGGGUGACAGCCCCGUACACAAAAAUGCACAUGCUGUGAGCUCGAUGAGUAGGGCGGGACACGUGGUAUCCUGUCUGAAUAUGGGGGGACCAUCCUCCAAGGCUAAAUACUCCUGACUGACCGAUAGUGAACCAGUACCGUGAGGGAAAGGCGAAAAGAACCCCGGCGAGGGGAGUGAAAAAGAACCUGAAACCGUGUACGUACAAGCAGUGGGAGCCUCUUUUAUGGGGUGACUGCGUACCUUUUGUAUAAUGGGUCAGCGACUUAUAUUCUGUAGCAAGGUUAACCGAAUAGGGGAGCCGAAGGGAAACCGAGUCUUAACUGGGCGUUAAGUUGCAGGGUAUAGACCCGAAACCCGGUGAUCUAGCCAUGGGCAGGUUGAAGGUUGGGUAACACUAACUGGAGGACCGAACCGACUAAUGUUGAAAAAUUAGCGGAUGACUUGUGGCUGGGGGUGAAAGGCCAAUCAAACCGGGAGAUAGCUGGUUCUCCCCGAAAGCUAUUUAGGUAGCGCCUCGUGAAUUCAUCUCCGGGGGUAGAGCACUGUUUCGGCAAGGGGGUCAUCCCGACUUACCAACCCGAUGCAAACUGCGAAUACCGGAGAAUGUUAUCACGGGAGACACACGGCGGGUGCUAACGUCCGUCGUGAAGAGGGAAACAACCCAGACCGCCAGCUAAGGUCCCAAAGUCAUGGUUAAGUGGGAAACGAUGUGGGAAGGCCCAGACAGCCAGGAUGUUGGCUUAGAAGCAGCCAUCAUUUAAAGAAAGCGUAAUAGCUCACUGGUCGAGUCGGCCUGCGCGGAAGAUGUAACGGGGCUAAACCAUGCACCGAAGCUGCGGCAGCGACGCUUAUGCGUUGUUGGGUAGGGGAGCGUUCUGUAAGCCUGCGAAGGUGUGCUGUGAGGCAUGCUGGAGGUAUCAGAAGUGCGAAUGCUGACAUAAGUAACGAUAAAGCGGGUGAAAAGCCCGCUCGCCGGAAGACCAAGGGUUCCUGUCCAACGUUAAUCGGGGCAGGGUGAGUCGACCCCUAAGGCGAGGCCGAAAGGCGUAGUCGAUGGGAAACAGGUUAAUAUUCCUGUACUUGGUGUUACUGCGAAGGGGGGACGGAGAAGGCUAUGUUGGCCGGGCGACGGUUGUCCCGGUUUAAGCGUGUAGGCUGGUUUUCCAGGCAAAUCCGGAAAAUCAAGGCUGAGGCGUGAUGACGAGGCACUACGGUGCUGAAGCAACAAAUGCCCUGCUUCCAGGAAAAGCCUCUAAGCAUCAGGUAACAUCAAAUCGUACCCCAAACCGACACAGGUGGUCAGGUAGAGAAUACCAAGGCGCUUGAGAGAACUCGGGUGAAGGAACUAGGCAAAAUGGUGCCGUAACUUCGGGAGAAGGCACGCUGAUAUGUAGGUGAAGUCCCUCGCGGAUGGAGCUGAAAUCAGUCGAAGAUACCAGCUGGCUGCAACUGUUUAUUAAAAACACAGCACUGUGCAAACACGAAAGUGGACGUAUACGGUGUGACGCCUGCCCGGUGCCGGAAGGUUAAUUGAUGGGGUUAGCGGUAACGCGAAGCUCUUGAUCGAAGCCCCGGUAAACGGCGGCCGUAACUAUAACGGUCCUAAGGUAGCGAAAUUCCUUGUCGGGUAA